rnacentral:tRNA from 1 species
UCUUAAGUAGUUUAAUUAAAAAUGGUGAUUUGUGGCGUCAUCGAUGUGUGUUUACAUCUUAGGUA